GAUGAACGCUGGCGGCGUGCCUAACACAUGCAAGUCGAGCGGCAGCGAGUUUCUCACUGUUUGCUUCUCUUUUUUCGUCAUACGAAAGAAUAUAGAGGAGUGAAGAGUGAGGAAUGUCGGCGAGCGGCGGACGGCUGAGUAACGCGUGGGAACGUGCCCCAAAGUGAGGGAUAACGCACCGAAAGGUGUGCUAAUACCGCAUAUGGUCUUCGGAUUAAAGAAUUUAUUCGCUUUGGGAGCGGCCCGCGUCGGAUUAGGUUGUUGGUGAGGUAAUGGCUCACCAAGCCGACGAUCCGUAGCUGGUCUGAGAGGAUGACCAGCCAGACUGGAACUGAGACACGGUCCAGACUCCUACGGGAGGCAGCAGUGAGGAAUCUUCCACAAUGGGCGAAAGCCUGAUGGAGCAACGCCGCGUGCAGGAUAAAGGCCUUCGGGUUGUAAACUGCUUUUUUCUGUGAUGAAUAUGACAGUAACAGACGAAUAAGGAUCGGCUAACUACGUGCCAGCAGCCGCGGUCAUACGUAGGAUCCGAGCGUUAUCCGGAGUGACUGGGCGUAAAGAGUUGCGUAGGUGGUUUGUUAAGUAGGUAGUGAAAUCUGACGGCUCAACCGUUCAGGCUAUUACCUAAACUGGCAAACUCGAGAAUGGUAGAGGUAACUGGAAUUUCUAGUGUAGGAGUGGAAUCCGUAGAUAUUAGAAGGAACACCAAUGGCGUAGGCAGGUUACUGGACCAUUUCUGACACUGAGGCACGAAAGCGUGGGGAGCGAACCGGAUUAGAUACCCGGGUAGUCCACGCCGUAAACGAUGGAUACUAGCUGUUAGAGGUAUCGACCCCUCUAGUAGCGAAGCUAACGCGUUAAGUAUCCCGCCUGUGGAGUACGGUCGCAAGACUAAAACAUAAAGGAAUUGACGGGGACCCGCACAAGUAGUGGAUCGUGUUCUUUAAUUCGAUGCUAAACGAAGAACCUUACCAGGGCUUGACAUCCUUGGAAGCUCUGCGAAAGUAGAGUGUGCCUUUUGGAACCAAGUGACAGGUGAUGCAUGGCCGUCGUCAGCUCGUGUCGUGAGAUGUUUGGUUAAGUCCAUCAACGAGCGCAACCCUUGUGAAUAGUUGUAUUUUUCUAUUCAAACUGCCCCGGUAACGGGGAGGAAGGAGGGGAUGAUGUCAGGUCAGUAUUUCCCUUACGUCCUGGGCUAGAAACACGAUACAAUGGCAAGUACAAUGCGCAGCGAAGCCGCGAGGUGGAGCAAAUCGCAUCAAAGCUUGUCCCAGUUCGGAUUGGAGGCUGAAACUCGCCUCCAUGAAGUCGGAAUUACUAGUAAUCGCAAAUCAGCAAGUUGCGGUGAAUACGUUCCCGGGUCU
rnacentral:rRNA from 1 species